AUGUUUACUUAUAUGCUGAAGCUAACAAAAACGAGAAUCAAUCAGAGGAAUACCAUUUUGCACUCGAUAUACAAUACAAAAAGAUAACAAUGUAGAAAAAUAAAACCUUGAUUUGGAAUUUUCCUACUACCAACUCAUCAUCACUUGCACGUUAGAAAGUAGGAGUAGGCUUCUCGAUGAUGCUGGAUGUGGGUUAAGAUAUGAUAGUAGGACAGCUUUAUUUUGGACAAGACCAAAGUUUU
rnacentral:lncRNA from 1 species